UGAGGAACAGAGUUGAAGACCUCCGAUACAAAUAUCAUAUCAUAUCAAAUCAAAUCAAAUCAAAUCAAAUCCAAUCAUGUGACCUAAUGAGUCCAAGGAGUCCAGCAUCCUGGACCAGCAGCCUGCUGUGGUGCAAGUUUGCAAAAGACAAGAAAAAGAUGCAGCUUGAAGUUUGCAAAACAACAAAUCCAGCUUUGCUGCUUUAUAGCACCGCAGUGCAACAAGACCCGGGGACCAUCUGCCUGCAGYGACAGCGUCACGCUCCAGGAAAACGUUGUAAAAAGUCAUCUGUCCAGACGAUUGUAAAACACCAAGAAGAAGCAGCUGAAGCACAUCAUCAAAGCCACGUGGCCCUCUGGGACCAACGAGAAUCCACC